rnacentral:snoRNA from 1 species
CUGCAUCCACUGAUAGACCUUGAACAAUUUGCUGUUUGUUUGAUUUGCACUAUGAUGCAAAGCAAAAUCAUCCCAGUGCUUUCUGUCUCUGUGGCUGCCAGAUUGAAUAAGGGAGAACAUAU